AAUGAGUCGUGUUGCGAAACAUGCAUUGUACGAACCGCUCAAUUGUUUAAUAAUUAAAGUAAGGUGCGCCACUUUUCGUUGUUUUAUGUAAAAAUGAAAUGUGGAAACAACCCCCACCAAUAACUGUGAAUGGUUUGCGCUGGUAAUUAAUUGUAGGGACACACAGCUACGUUUUGUGAUUGUAUUCGAUUUUAAAAUUACCAUGGUUAAUUAUUGAGAAGCUGCUCAUCAUUUCUAAAUAGAAAUAUCGACCAUGAGCGUUGAGGUUGACUUUUCGGCAUUUUGCAAAACAUCUUACCUUGGGUAAUCUGUACGGAUUUCGUAAGGCUAAUUGCACAGUCACAGAAGCACGAAUUUCAGCCGUAGAAAUUUGGCCAUUAUAUGCAAAAAAAAACGGUAUAAUCGAGUGCAUCAGUUCCGGAAGUUCACUUCUUGAAUAUUGUUAAUGUAGAGGGCUUAACAGACAGUAGUAGGUACAGUACAAGUGCAGAGUACAGCUACCUCGACCAUUAUAAUAUAAACGCUAUAGUCUGAUGCUGAAGAGUGAAUAGGCUACUACGGCUACUAUGAAUAAACAUUUUCGAGUAAAUAAAUGAGUAGUACCUGUUCGCGACUAAAAUAGUAUACGCGACGCAACUUAACGCUUAAAAUAGUUAAUUAAGCCAACGAAAAUUAUUUUAAACCGCGUGUCGACCCGUAAACCAAAAUUCGUUUCGAUUUAAGCGGAUUUAAAAAAAUUGUGCGGUCGGACACGCACCUACAAAGGUAAGUGAAUACUUUUAAUGCAGUUGUUAGCGGUCGUCCUUGGUGUAUGUUUCCAAAAUGCCUACACCUCCGAGAUUAUCGCUUCUCUAAUUAGAAAAUCGAGGCUUGAUUUGACUACUGACCGUAAAUAUUAGUGCAAAAAUUGAAUUAAUAUGGUAAUUUAAUGCCUAGGACCGUUAUCUACAUGUAGAAAAACGGCAUUAACGCGAAAGUGAAAAAUAAGUCAAUAGUUGAAGGCAUGUCUAAACCGUCCUUUACCUUUAUUCAAAAUUAUCCUGUAACUGUACAUUUCCUUCACAAUGCUAUAUUUUAAGUGAGAGAUGUGAUUUUCGCCUCUGAGGCCAUAUGUAUUCAAUACAAUUCACAACAGGUUCUUGUCGCCUUCUAUAACAACGAUGGCACAUCCAUUGACCAUUGACCUACACCUCUAGUUUGUCCCAGUAGAGUGCAAGUGCCAACACAUUAUGCACAAAGUAACAAUUGACAAUGCUUUGUCAUUAUCAUAUUGACGUACCACCGUGUUACAUGGUUCAAACCAUUGAAUUUAAGUGUGUUAAAGUCCUUGUUCAAACCAACACAGUAAAACGCACUUGGACAAUUCGCACCAAGCAAAAUUCGCACCAAAGACAAUUCAUAUUCGAACAAUUCGCAUCCGGAUAAACCGCACCUGGAUUUCGCUCGCUCGCAUAAGAACUCUACACGUAAGGACAUCAUCCUCGAGCAUGAAUAUAUUAUUGAAUUCGUGGCAAAGCUCCAUUAAGACCUAGUACUCUUUCUGGUUAAGAUGCGAAGUUCUCAGUCCCUCGGAUAUUGUCUCCAAACGUGCCUACUCAUAUCGAUACCUUCAACCAAAAGUUCUGAGACUCUAGGGUUUGCUAUUUCUAUUAGUAUUAUCAAUAGAGAUGGUUAUAUUGUGUCUUAAUAUAAAAAAAUUCAUCUCUGUAAAAACGAAUAGUAUUUCUAAUGAGCUUUUAAUUGUUGGAUAAUUAUGAUUUUAAAGAGGGUGGCGGGAUUGAACAAAAAAUCACCGUAAAAUUUCCCUACCGACACUGAUGUUUAGUGAAAACCGUAUGAGGCUUUUUAGAUGUACUUUAAUCUGUACAGUACGAGUCACAGAGAUACAUCUAUACUUUUGGUAUACCAUAAUGGUGAAAGUGUUAUUAUUAUUGUUUCUGAGCGCGACUGAAUGACAAGAGUGGAUAGGUUAUAAACUGGUUGAUUUCUAUUUUUAAUAUUUUGUAAUAAUCGGCCAGAGCAACAGACUAAUUAGUCCAACUGGACUUUUUACAAAAGAAAAUUGUUAAUGGAGCUUUGCCAAGUGUAUAUGUUAAAAUGGUCCAUAACAAAUACAAAAAAAAUAAAUACGUGAGGAGGGGAGUGGGACUAUGUUUUGGUUUGGGGGAGGGUGAAAAGGGAUGAAAAUCGUAUGACGGCAAUUUCCGGCAAAAGUUGAUAUCAGAGACAAAAGUGUUCGAUAAGAAAGUUGUAGAUCGUGAAAACUCUACUACUUUCUUUCCAGUCACUUUCUCACAUAACGGAAAAAUCGCGGAAAACAAUGUUUUUCGUUUUUUAUUGUUCAUUGGCACA